CACUGGAUGCAGCGGUUCAUCGAUCUCUUCCUGAAUCGUUGUUUAACAUCAGAACCAUGAAUCGAUCGAUAAACCUCUGCAUCCAGC
rfam:Glycine soja cultivar W05 scaffold632_36, whole genome shotgun sequence.